UGGGGAAUAUUGGGCAAUGGGCGCAAGCCUGACCCAGCAACGCCGCGUGAGGGAAGAAGGUCUUCGGAUUGUAAACCUCUGUCCUUGGGGACGAAAAAAAUGACGGUACCCAAGGAGGAAGCUCCGGCUAACUACGUGCCAGCAGCCGCGGUAAUACGUAGGGAGCAAGCGUUGUCCGGAAUUACUGGGCGUAAAGGGUGCGUAGGCGGUCAGGCAAGUCAGAUGUGAAAUCCCCGGGCUUAACUCGGGUGGUGCAUUUGAAACUGCUUGACUUGAGUGCAGGAGAGGAAAGCGGAAUUCCUAGUGUAGCGGUGAAAUGCGUAGAUAUUAGGAGGAACACCAGUGGCGAAGGCGGCUUUCUGGACUGUAACUGACGCUGAGGCACGAAAGCGUGGGGAGCAAACA
rnacentral:rRNA from 1 species